UACAGAGGGUGCAAGCGUUGUUCGGAAUUAUUGGGCGUAAAGCGCGUGUAGGCGGCCCUGCAAGUCGGGUGUGAAAUCCCACGGCUCAACCGUGGAAAUGCACUCGAAACUGCAGGGCUAGAGUCCUGGAGAGGAAGGUGGAAUGCUUGGUGUAGAGGUGAAAUUCGUAGAUAUCAAGCGGAACACCGGUGGCGAAGGCGGCCUUCUGGACAGUGACUGACGCUGAGACGCGAAAGCGUGGGGAGCAAACAGG
rnacentral:rRNA from 1 species